UCUCCACCCGCCCACUCCAAAAGGCUUCCUCCCAUCCCCCACCUGGUUCCGCAGAGCAGUUGCUAUGGGUUACCAGGGCGGUUGCCAUGGGUUACCCAACUGAGGAAGCGGGAGCAUGCGUGGGAUGACAGGAGCUUGAGGGCUGCUGAGCCGAGCCCCACGGGGGUGGGGGCUGAGCUAUAAAGAAGGCCCAGAGGCCUCACACCAAAUGAGGGAUUGGCUGCAGCCAGACGACCCUACUUAACAGGGAAGCAGUGAAUGCCGCAAAGGGGACACCAAGAUGUGCUCAGGCAAGAUGUUGACACGCUUCUCCCCAGUCAUGGAUGGCUGCCAUUCGUGCCCAAACUGGACCAAACAGGAGAGCUGCACAGAGGAACGUGAAACAGAAAUCAUCGGUAUCAUUCAGCCAGGGGGCCCAGUCCAAAGCCAACUGGAACCGUCAUUUAUUUAUUUAUUCUGUGUGCCUGGCUGUGGAGGAGGUGUGCAUGCCACAGGACGCGAAGCAUAUGGACCAGAAGGCAACUCCCAGAAAUCUUUUCUCUCCUUCACCACUGGGGUUCCGGGGACCCAGCACACAUCCUACAAGCACAUUUACCUGUUUUGUUUGGGUUUUGUUUUUUUUUUAACUUUUUAAAUGAGAUCUAUUCAGUUUAUUUUUGUGUACGUUGGAAAUAAAUGCUCAUAUGCACA